GACGAACGCUGGCGGCGUGCUUAACACAUGCAAGUCGAGCGGUAAGGCCCUUCGGGGUACACGAGCGGCGAACGAGUGAGUAACACGUGAGUAAUCUGCCCAUCACUUCGGGAUAACUCCGGGAAACCGGUGCUAAUACCCAAUAUGACCACUUCAGGCAUCUGAUGGUGGUGGAAAGUUCCGGCGGUGAUGGAUGAGCUCGCGGCCUAUCAGCUUGUUGGUGGGGUAGUGGCCUACCAAGGCUUCGACGGGUAGCCGGCCUGAGAGGGUGACCGGCCACACUGGGACUGAGACACGGCCCAGACUCCUACGGGAGGCAGCAGUGGGGAAUAUUGGACAAUGGGCGAAAGCCUGAUCCAGCAACGCCGCGUGAGGGAUGACGGCCUUCGGGUUGUAAACCUCUUUCAGCAGGGACGAAGCGCAAGUGACGGUACCUGCAGAAGAAGCACCGGCCAACUACGUG
rnacentral:rRNA from 1 species